GAGAAGAACGUAGCGAAAUGCGAUAAGUAAUGUGAAUUGCAGAAUUCAGUGAAUCAUCGAAUCUUUGAACGCACAUUGCGCCCGCCAGUAUUCUGGCGGGCAUGCCUGUUCGAGCGUCAUUUCAACCCUCAAGCCCUGCUUGGUGUUGGGGAUCGGCGUUGCCUCCUCCGUCGUUCGCGGCGGGGUGAGGUCGCCGCCCCCGAAAUGAAUUGGCGGUCUCGUCGCAGCUUUCCUUUGCGUAGUAACAUACCACCUCGCAACCAGGAGCGCGGCGCGGCCACUGCCGUAAAACGCCCAACUUUUUCAAGAGUUGACCUCGAAUCAGGUAGGAAUACCCGCUGAACUUAAGCAUAUCAAUAAGCGGAGGA
rnacentral:misc_RNA from 1 species